GCGCGUAUUUUUUUGGAGUCUGGAGACGAAAUUAAUUUUGGAAAUGUGCGCUAUUUUUAGACAGCUGCGGUGACAUGAAGGGUAUCCUUAGAGAAAUAUGUACUUGGGGGAUGAAUAGCGUGAUAUUAGGGGAUCAGAAUGGUACCAAAGUUGCCAUGACUACCUUUAUUGUUUUGCCGCUUGCGAGCAUUCUUUGAGAGCAAUUUCGCAAACAAUGGCGCAUCGAAGCCAAAAUGUUAAAAUUGAUGAAUUUCGGCUUCGAAUAACUUUUGUUUUUAAGGCCAUCCUUUUAUAAUAUUUGGUAGGACUAAAUUUAUAGCCUUUAUCUAAAUUCCUACCGUAGCACUUUAUUCGAUUUCGUCUUUGAUCGCAGUAAAAAUGCAUUUGAAUAAGGCCACCAAAUACAGCGUUUCGAUGUCAACGCUAAUAAUAUAACGUUUAGCGUCUUAGGUUGCGGUCAAAAGAAAGAUGGAAUUAUCGACCAAGACACAGAAAUUGAGGAGAUUAGACGAAAAGGUAUGUUUGGCAUUUGUUUAUUGUAUUAUUUGUACGAAACAAGGGAUAAUAUAUUGAUAUGUUUUGAAAGGCAGGCGUGUGUACUUGUUGACUUGUAUAUUGUAUACAUUCUUGAGCGCUCAAGAACUAUAAUACCUAUAGCGGCCUAUGGCUACAAACCCUUUAAUUAACCCUAUAUUUUCGAAUUUGGAGGGUUUAAAACAAGCGAAAUAUGUUUAAAAUUACGAACAAUAAUGUGUUGUAUAUUAUAUUUUCACAUUGACAGUUGUCACACAGAUUUAUUAUAAGUAGAUUGACUAGACAAUAUGCGAUGUUCCAUAGGUAAAUUCUAAGUUUUGAGGGAUUUGUAAGUAAUCUUUGAGAGAACUGGCUCAGUGUUACAUUUCAGCACAAAACAUGCAAUUCUGACAAUGUAAACUCUGUUACUAUAUAAAUGUGAAGUUUUUUUAACUUUGAAGUUAGAAAAAUCUUUUGAAUAUUGAAACAAAUCUAUAAUUGCUUGCAAAUUCAGGUAAACCACAGGCACAGCUGGCAGCAUGGCCUAGGUGUUGUAUUUGUACACAGACUUGAUUUAUAGUUUCAGCAAUCUAUGAACUCAUUGAGUCGCAUUGUGCCCUCGCCGCCCUGAUGGGCCCUACUUUAUUAUUUUACUUUGUCUAACGCCAGACGAUUUUACUU
rnacentral:lncRNA from 1 species